AUGUCUGUGCUCCAGCAGCCUGUGUCUGAGUCAGUCCUCCCAGGAGACUCUGUGACUCUGAACUGUACAAAACACACUGAGACCUGUGCAGGAGAACACAGUGACUAUUGGUUCAGACAUGGCUCAGGAGAAUCCCGUCAAGGAAUUAUUUACACCCAUGGAGACAGGAGUAGGGCUGUUGACCCUAUUACCGCCACACUGGCGAGCUGUGUCUACAACCUCCCCAAGAGGAACCUCGGCCUCUCUGAUGCUGGGAUUUACUACUGUGCUGUGGCCUCAUGUUGGGAGAUACUGUUUGGAGAUGGCACCAAGCUGAAUAUUCAUGCCGGGACAGUGCGUCUACCGACACUCAUCUGUCCACCUCGUGAGAGCCCUUUGCGGCCAUGA